UGGGGAAUAUUGCACAAUGGGCGCAAGCCUGAUGCAGCCAUGCCGCGUGUAUGAAGAAGGCCUUCGGGUUGUAAAGUACUUUCAGCGGGGAGGAAGGCGAUAAGGUUAAUAACCUUGUCGAUUGACGUUACCCGCAGAAGAAGCACCGGCUAACUCCGUGCCAGCAGCCGCGGUAAUACGGAGGGUGCAAGCGUUAAUCGGAAUUACUGGGCGUAAAGCGCACGCAGGCGGUCUGUCAAGUCGGAUGUGAAAUCCCCGGGGUCAACCUGGGAACUGCAUUCGAAACUGGCAGGCUAGAGUCUUGUAGAGGGGGGUAGAAUUCCAGGUGUAGCGGUGAAAUGCGUAGAGAUCUGGAGGAAUACCGGUGGCGAAGGCGGCCCCCUGGACAAAGACUGACGCUCAGGUGCGAAAGCGUGGGGAGCAAACA
rnacentral:rRNA from 1 species